ensembl:lncRNA
UAGAGGUGGCAGGUAGCCUAGUGGUUAGAGUGUAGAGGUGGCAGGUAGCCUAGUGGUUAGAGGGUAGAGGUGGCAGGUAGCCUAGUGGUUAGAGUGUAGAGGUGCAGCCUCUACAGCCUGCUGGUCUGUUGCUCAGCUUAAACACACACACACACACACACACACACACACACACACACACACACACACACACACACACACACACACUGGCGCUGGUCUUCCUCCAUCAGUUUUAUCUGUGUGAUCUCAGAGACCGGCCAGCGCCUCAUCCCAAAUAGCUCUAGUCAAAAGUAUGGGGUGCUAUUUGGGACAUUUCCCUCUGUGCCCCCCUGGUGCAUUCUGGGUAACUGUGUGUCUGCAGCGAGCGGGGAGGAUAUCCUGGCAGAAGGGGGGAGUGAGAGUGGCCAUUUGAGUUCCUUAGAGGUCAUACUGAGACUUCCUCUCUCUCUCUGUCUCUCUCUCUCUCUCUCUCUCUCUCUCUCUCUCUGUCUCUCUCUCUUCUCCCUCUCUCUCUCUUCUCCCUCUCUCUCUCUCUGUCUCUCUCUCUCUCUCUCUCUCUCCCUCUCUCUCUCCC